rnacentral:lncRNA from 1 species
AGAAAGAGCCAGGAUUGGAGAAGUCAGGGGGAGGAGAUGGAAGAGAACCAGAGAACCAGGGAGCGGCUCCACUCAGGGGGCACACUCGCAGCCAGGGCUCAUCACUCAUCUAUUCAGCUCUUCAUUCAGCAAACAUUCAUCAGGACCUCGGAUAUGCCAGGCACCAUGCCAGUCGCCAAGGAUCUAGCACUUAUUUUCCACAACUCAGCAACCAGUUGGGCUGCUUCCCUCUGACGCACUUGCUUCUCAUCCGGGGAGCGGGGAGUCUCCGUCUUCACAAAUGAGAAAACAGGCUUUAAGAAGAUAACUCACUGGCCUAAGUCAAGUGGCCGAGCUGGGAUUUGAACCCUAAGCCUUUGAGAAGCCAAAGUCCCUUCUUCAGCUGGGUGGUCAUGGAGUCACCUGAAUAUCUCAUCAGAAGAUGGCUUCUGAGAGUCUGUCCUAUCCCAAUGGCCCCAACAAGAUACAUAUAGACCUUAGAUUAUUGCUACCUGCGUGGAUUCAAAUGACCAAGGCACAACAAUGAGGGGAAUCCAAGCAAUGCCAGCCCAGGUGGUUGGGUCCUCAGGGCCCAAACACUUGACUCUCACCUGUCUCCACACUUGGUCUGCUGUGUGACUCAGAAAACACCUGCCCAUCCUCUCUGGGCCAGGCCACAGGCAAUGCCCUCCAAAAAGAGGUCAGCAAAGUGUGAGAUUCAGAUAAUCUCAGAAGUCACCUGUUCAAAUAUGACUAUCAUAUAAAUACAGACCUCAGGAAGAAAAGUGAGAAAAACAAACUUCAUCCCCUUCCUCUCCGUGGCCCCUGCGGAACACCAGGACCCUUAGCUCUUGUAGGACAUGCCCCCCAGCCACUUCUGGGCUCUGACCCAUUGACCUGGUCCUAGGAAGCCUCCAAACCCCUAAGGAAAGGGCCGUGCCUCUCCAAGGCCAGGCUGGGCAGGGC